rnacentral:misc_RNA from 1 species
GAAAUGCGAUAAGUAAUGUGAAUUGCAGAAUUCAGUGAAUCAUCGAAUCUUUGAACGCACAUUGCGCUCGCCAGCUAUUCUGGCGGGCAUGCCUGUCCGAGCGUCAUUUCAACCAUCAAGCCCCAUAGCUUGUGUUGGGGACCUUCGUGCUGCCGCGUAGGCCCUGAAAAGCAGUGGCGGGCUCGCCGACCCACCGAGCGUAGUAGCAUCAGUUCUCGCUCAGGGGCGUGCUGCGGGUUCCGGCCGUAAAAAGAUAAACCCAAGGUUGACCUCGGAUCAGGUAGGAAUACCCGCUGAACUUAA